UGGACCGGUAUAUGACUNUACCCUCAGAGAAAGCCCCGGCUNNNNACGUGCCAGCGGCCGCGGUAAUACGUAGGGGGCAAGCGUUGUCCGGCUUUACUGGGUGUCAAGGGCGCGCAGGCGGGAUAAAAAGUCAGUGGUGAAAUCCUACAGCUUAACUGUAGAACUGNNUUUGAUACUUUUAUUCUUGAGUUCGGGAGANAGAGACGGAAUUCCAGGUGUAGUGGUGAAAUACGUAGAUAUCUGGAAGAACACCAGUUGCGAAGGCGGUCUCUUGGUCCGACACUGACGCUGAGGCGCGAAAGCGUGGGGAGCAAACA
rnacentral:rRNA from 1 species